GCCCAAUUAAGUGCAGAUUUUUGGCUGCGUGAGCAACAUAACUGCAGCAUUUUUUCCAGAAAAACCAAGAAAUGAACUAAAAAACUAAACAAGAAAAAGUCUUUUAAGAAGAUGGUCUGAUAAGUGCUGGGAGAUAAUAUUUUUUUCUCAUUUCAUACCUGAUAUCUUCUAACCUGGAUAUGACCAACCUCGGGCAGAGCGACUUCAGAUCACAUUUCUAAUGUGCUGGCAGCUCCCCAUCCCAGAGGGAUUUUCACUGAGUAAGCUUCGAUGAGAAAUGAAGUGAAUCACAAGAAAGUAAUUUGACAUGAGGGAUUUAUCUUUGAACCAACCAGUUCCAAGGCGUAACCAGUGCAGGUAGAAAGAGCUUCAACUCAAUUUGACUCCACAGAUAUCUUUGGAAGACCAGCUCUGGGCACAUAGCAGUGUUGGGCACAUUGGGAAGAUGCGGAUACUGAGAGAGAGGAAAGCUAUGAAAAGUUAUUGAAUCAUCAUACUUUCUAUUUUACAUCAGGCAUUCUCAAGGUUCUUUAUAGGCACAUACACACUCUCUCUCUCUCUCUCUUUUUAAGUACUGCAUUACAUAAGAAAGAAGGCAACAAAGCAACAAGCAAUGUGUUCCAAGGUGAUGUCUUAUGAUUUAUACAGAAAUAUAUAAAAGGUUCUGUUAGGUAUUGGACGUUAAUUAGAUAUGCCCCCCAUAAAUAAAG
rnacentral:lncRNA from 1 species